rnacentral:misc_RNA from 1 species
UGUAAACAACGCCAUUGAG